UCCCAGGUGGCUCAGUGGUAAAGAAUCUGCCUGCCAAGCAGGAGAUGCAGGUUCAAUCCCUGGGUCAGGAA
rnacentral:tRNA from 1 species